AAUUAAAAUAAUAGAUUUGAAAUAUUUAUUAUAUAGAUUUAAAGAGAUAAUCAUGGAAUACAUAUAUUUUAUAUAAUUUUAUUUAUAAAAAGAAUAAUAAUAAAUAUAAAAUAAUACUAUUAAUAGUUAUUAGGUUACUAAUAAAUUAUAUAUAUUUAACCCCGGAACAAAAACAUCUUUAGGGAUGUUUUUGUUCCGGGGAAUAUAUAUCUAAUUUUAAUACCUAAAGAGAAAUCUUUAUAUAUAAUAAUAUAUAUAUAUUUAUAUAUAUAUAUUAUUAAUAUAUUAUAAUAUAUACUAAGUGAAUUGAAACAUCUUAUUAACUUAAGGAAUAUAAAUCAACAGAGAUAUUAUGAGUAUUGGUGAGAGAAAAUAAUAUAGUCUUAUUAAGUAUUAUAUAUUAAUUAAUAUGUAAGAAUAAUAAUAAAGGAUUAACAAAUUCUAAGACUAAAUACUAUUAAUAAGUUUAAAAAGUACCGUGAGGGAAAGUAUGUAAAUGGUUAUUUUAUAAGCAAUUAUAGAUAUUAUAUAUUAAUAUCAAUAAUGUACCUUUUGUAUAAUGGGUCAGCAAGUAAUUAAUAUUAGCAAAAAUAAAUAAUAAUUUAUAUUUAAAUAGAUAUUUUAUAAUAAUAUAUAUAUAAUAAUAUAUUAAUAGUUAAUAUUAAUUGACCCGAAAGCAUAAGAUCUUACCAUGACAAGAUGAAUUAAAACGAUCGAACAGGUUAAUGUUGCAAAAUUAUCUGAUUAGUUGUGGUAAGUUAUGAAAGAUAAAUCUGAUAUGCAGAUAGCUGGUUUUCUAUGAAAUAUAUGUUAGUAUAGCCUUCUUAAAUUCUUAAUUAAUAAAUUAAUAUUUAAUAUUGAUUUAUAGUAUGGUAUAGCAAUUAAUAUAAAUAUUAUAUAUCAUUUAUAUGAUAUAUAAUAGUAUUGGGAAAUUAUUAUAAUUUUAUCAAUAAUAUUUAAUCUCAAAAUAUUUAAUUAUAUGUAUAAUAUUUAAAUAUAUUAUAUAUUACUAAGAAGAGUCAGAUUAUAUGCGAUAAGGUAAAUAAUCUAAAGGGAAACAGCCCAGAUUAAUAUAUAAAGUUCCUAAUUUUUUAUAAAUGUAUAAUUCUAAAAUACAUUAAAUUUAAUAGUAUUAUUAAAUAAUAAUAAGUGAAAAUAAUAUUAAAAUAUUAUAAAUUAAUCAGUUAAUGGGUUUGACAAUAACCAUUUUUUAAUGAACAUGUAACAAUGCACUGAUCAUAAAUAAAUAUAAAUAAUAUUUCAAACAUAUAUAUAUUAACCCCCGGAACAAAAACAUCUUUAGGGAUGUUUUUGUUCCGGGGUAUAUAUGAUAAUAAACAAUAUACGGAUCUUAUAAAAUAUAAAAUUAUUAAACUGAAUAUUUAAAUAUAUUAUAAUAAUAUUAUUAUUAUAAUAUAUGGUAAUAGAACAUCUAAUGAUAAAGUAUAUUAAUUAAAUAUUAAUAUAUAUAAAUAAUUAGAUAGAGAAUGCUGACAUGAGUAACGAUAAAAAGGUUUAAACCUUUUCACCUAAAACAUAAGGUUUUACUAUAAAAGUACGGCUUCUAAUAUAAAUAUGAAUAUAAAUAUAUUAUAGAUGAAUAAAUACUAAUUUAUAUUAACCCCCAAAACAAAAACAUCUUUAAUGAUGUUUUGGGGAAAAUAUCUUUAUUUAAUUAUAAUAUUAUAAUUAUAUUAUAAUAAAUAUAUAGAGAUCAGGAAAUAUAAUAUAAUUAAAUACCGUAAUGUAGACCGACUCAGGUAUGUUAGUAGAGAAUAUGAAGGUGUAUUAGAUAAUUAAGGAUAAGGAACUCGGCAAAAAUAGUUCUAACGUUAGUCAAUAAAGAAAUAUUAAAAACAAGGUUGUACAACUGUUUACUAAAAACACCGCACUUUGCGAAAACAUUAAGUUAUAGUAUAAGGUGUGAACUCUGCUCAAUGCUUAAUAUAUAAAUUAUAUAUUUAUUAAUUAUAGAAUAUAUAAAUAAAUUUAAGUAAAUAGCAGCCUUAUUAUGAGGGUUAUAAUGUAGCGAAAUUCCUUGGCUGAUAAUUACAGUCCCGCAUGAAUGACGUAAUGAUACAACAACUGUCUCAUCCUUAAUCUAAGUGAAAUUGAAUUUGCAGUGAAGAUGCUGUAUAUUUAUAGUUAGACAAGAAGACCCUAUGCAGCUUUACUAUAAUUAGAUAGAUCGAAUUAUUAUUAAUUAUAUUCAGAUAUAUUAAGUAAUAUAAUUAUUAUUAAUCGUUUAGAUAUAAAUGAGAUACUUAUUAUAAUUAUAUAAUAAUUCUAAUCUUUAAUAAUAAUAUAUUUAAUAGAUAUUAUUCUUAAAUAUAGAUUAUAUAUAUAUUUAAUAUAUAUAUAUAUAAUAUAAAGAGACAAUCUCUAAUUGGUAGUUUUGAUGGGGCGUCAUUUUCAGCAAAAGUAUCUGAAUAAGUCCAUAUAUAAUUUAUAAUAUUAUUUAAAAAUAAUAUAAAAUAUAUAUUAAAUAUAUUAAUUAUAAACUAAUAUUAUAUUUUUAUAAUAUAAUAUUAAUAAUAGAAAAAUUAAGUAUAGUAAAAUUGUCUGGAAAACAAUAAUAUUUAUAUAUUUAUUUUUUAUAAAUAUUAAAUUAAUAUAAUAGUAUAACUAUGCAAAGAUUAUAACACAAACAAGUGAAAUAAGUACGUAAGUAUGGUAUAAUGAACAAAUAAUACUGAUUGUAAAGGUUAUUGAUAACGAAUAAAAGUUACGCUAGGGAUAACAGGGUAAUAUAACGAAAGAGUAGAAAUUGUAAGUUAUGUUUGCCACCUCGAUGUCGACUCUACCUAUCCUCUUGGUUGCAAAAGCUAAGAAGGGUUUGACUGUUCGUCAAUUAAAAGGUAACGUGAGUUGGGUUAAAUACGACGUAUUAUCUAAUUAAAUCUCAUUAUUAGUACGCAAGGAUCAUAAUGAAUUAACCUAUGGUGUAUCUAUUAAUUAUCUUAAUAUUUUUAUUAAUUUAUUUAAUAAAAAUAUUCUAUAUAUAUUUAUAUAUUAUAGAUAGUUAUUGUAGAGAAGCUAAGUUAAUAAAUAAUAAAUAUUGAAUACAUAUAAAAUAUGAAGUAGUUUUAAUAAGAUAAUACACUAAUAAUUUUAUACUAAAAUUAUAUAUAGGUUUUAUAUAUAUUUAUAUAUAAAAUACUAAUUUAUUAGUUAUCUAUAUAAUAUCUA
rnacentral:rRNA from 1 species